GAUGAAGAACGUAGCGAAAUGCGAUACGUAAUGUGAAUUGCAGAAUUCAGUGAAUCAUCGAGUGUUUGAACGCACAUUGCGCCCUCUGGUAUUCCGGAGGGCAUGCCUGUCCGAGCGUCAUUGCUGCCCUCAAGCACGGCUUGUGUGUUGGGCCCCGCCCCCCGAUCCCGGGGGGCGGGCCCGAAAGGCAGCGGCGGCACCGCGUCCGGUCCUCGAGCGUAUGGGGCUUUGUCACCCGCUCUGUAGGCCCGGCCGGCGCCUGCCGAUCAACCAAACUUUUUUCCAGGUUGACCUCGGAUCAGGUAGGGAUACCCGCUGAACUUAAGCAUAUCAAUAAGCGGAGGA
rnacentral:misc_RNA from 1 species